GGGACCUUCAAAGAUCCCACACGCCAUGAAGUCGACACUGAGCGCAGUAAUACUUGAAAGAACUGGUGUGAUUUUGAUACAUUCACAGCUUGAGAUCCGCCAUGUUGCCAGCUGGACGACUCGGAAGUUACUCCCCUCCAAAGUCCGUAUCCCAGAUCAAAGACUAUUGCGCUAAGCCAAUGUCGACAAAAACUCUCCUAAAUUAUGGGGAACUUGUCCCACCAUGGGGG
rnacentral:lncRNA from 1 species